rnacentral:piRNA from 1 species
UUAGUGCUGUCCGUCCGUCUCACUUGUC